UCACAUCUUACGAUGGCAGUAUCCACAGAGUCCCCGGCAUUACCCGAUGGCAACUGUGGAAAAGGGUUGCGCUCGUUAUGGCACUUAAGCCGACACCUCACGGCACGAGCUGACGACAACCAUGCAGCACCUUCACAGAAGUCCCGAAGGAAAGACACAUCUCUGCGUCAUGCAUCUGCAAUUCAAGCCCGGGUAAGGUUCCUCGCGUAUCAUCGAAUUAAACCACAUGUUCCUCCGCUUGUGCGGGCCCCCGUCAAUUCCUUUGAGUUUCACCGUUGCCGGCGUACUCCCCAGGUGGAAUGCUUAAUGCUUUCGCUUAGCCACCGACUGUAUAUCGCCGAUAGCGAGCAUUCAUCGUUUACCGUGCGGACUAC
rnacentral:misc_RNA from 1 species